UAAGACAAAGAGGUGUAGCGUUGUAUUUCAUUGAUAAGCUUGCUCUUCGUGCUGGUCACGAGAAGGACGAAGAUACCGCUGACACAGUGGGUUGCUGUUCACUAAGAUAUGAGCACAUAA